rnacentral:rRNA from 1 species
ACCCCGGGAGGGGAGUGAAAUAGAUCCUGAAACCGCAUGCAUACAAAAAGUCGGAGCCGCAAGGUGACGGCGUACCUUUUGUAUAAUGGGUCAGCGACUUACAUUCAGUAGCAAGCUUAACCGAUAGGGGAGGCGUAGCGAAAGCGAGUCCGAAUAGGGCGUUCAGUUGCUGGGUGUAGACCCGAAACCAAGUGAUCUAUCCAUGGCCAGGAUGAAGGUACCGUAACAGGUGCUGGAGGUCCGAACCGACUAGUGUUGCAAAACUAGCGGAUGAGCUGUGGAUAGGGGUGAAAGGCUAAACAAACUUGGAAAUAGCUGGUUCUCUCCGAAAACUAUUUAGGUAGUGCCUCGUAUAUCAUUCUCGGGGGUAGAGCACUGUUAUGGCUAGGGGGUGCAUAAGUACUUACCAAACCAUUGCAAACUCCGAAUACCGAGAAAUGCAAUUACGGGAGACAGACUGCGGGUGCUAACGUCCGUAGUCAAGAGGGAAACAACCCAGACCGACAGCUAAGGUCCCAAAUGACGUGCUAAGUGGAAAACGAAGUGGGAAGGCACAGACAGCCAGGAGGUUGGCUU